UACGGAGGGUGCAAGCGUUAUCCGGAUUCACUGGGUUUAAAGGGUGCGUAGGUGGCGAGGUAAGUCUGGUGUGAAAUCUCGGGGCUCAACCCCGAAACUGCACUGGAUACUGCCUUGCUUGAGUACUGGAGAGGAGAUUGGAAUUUACGGUGUAGCAGUGAAAUGCGUAGAUAUCGUAAGGAAGACCAGUGGCGAAGGCGAAUCUCUGGACAGUUACUGACACUGAGGCACGAAGGCCAGGGGAGCAAACGGG
rnacentral:rRNA from 1 species